AGUCCCUAGCGCCGCCACUGAUAUGAAUGAUAAGCAUACAGUCUAUGAUGAUAACACGUGUUAUAAGGGCUAUUUUGCACAAUAGGUGUGCCUUGAGAUUUUUAUUUGUCCUUUGGUGUGCCUUGGGCACAAAAAGUUUGGGAACCACUGUACUAGGUGACCGGAGAGGACGAGGACACCGAUUCCACCAGCCCGGCAGAUACCACAACCUUUAACACAGCAUAAUUAAACCUUGCUAAUCAGCAGCUGAUCGGUAUCUGCCUGUGCACCUGAGUCUGAUGGCUGAUUGGAUCCUCUCACCCUCAGCUGGCCUAUCAGCAGCCAGGGCCGACCAUAAAGGAGGCAGCCAGGAAGUCUUCUCGCUCUCUCACUCUGGGCCUGCUGCUGAUGAAGGAGCCUGCAGUGUUUAGCAACUCAUUCUCUUUGUAUUGUCUGACCUUUUUGAAAGUGUGUGUGUUGAGAGGUGGAGGAGUUAGGUAAGUCUGGGGUACCCUGUACAUUUCUCACCACGUAGCUAACUAAUGUUUAGACACACUAGGUUAGCGGAUUGUUGCCACCCCUGUAUAUUGUUUUGUCAAAGUCUUUGUAGUUCAGUUAGUGAGGGUUUUUGUUUGAGUUUUUGUUUCAAAGGAUAGAUGUAGAGAUAGGCCUGGUUUUGUUAUGCUUGUUUCUUUUGUUUGGCACAAUCCUUUGACUCCUCCUCCUCCUCACCAACAGAGUGUUUCAGUUAUAUGUCUGUUCGGUUCUGGGUUUACAAAAUAAACCUUUGGUCAACUGUUA